UACGGAGGUGGCAAGCGUUGUUCGGAUUUAUUGGGUGUAAAGGGCAGGUAGGCGUCCUAGCAAGUUCUGGUUGAAAUCCUUCAGCUCAACUGGAGAACCGGUCAGAAAACUGCUAGGAUUGAGUGCGGAAGAGGAGAACGGAAUUCCCGGUGUAAGGGUGAAAUCUGUAGAUAUCGGGAAGAACACCAGUGGCGAAAGCGGUUCUCUAGUACGUUACUGACGCUGAACUGCGAAAGCUAGGGGAGCAAACAGG
rnacentral:rRNA from 1 species